GGUCAGCAGAGGAUUUAACGGGACUUUGUGUCGGUUUGAGUUGUUUUUAAAGGAGGAUGAAGACGCUGGUGGUGUUCCUGCUCCUCAUGAACGUUUCCCAGCAUGCCUCAGCUGUGGAGUCGUAUGAGGAGGACUCGCUCACCCUGCCCUGUAAGUUUCCCACAGAGAGAUUGUUUGACCCCUCAGUGGUGUGGAGUCGCUCCGACCUCAGUCCUCCAACCGUCCACCAGCGUCAGCGUCAAGGAGACGAACUGAAAGAUCAAAACCAGCGUUACAGCGGCCGAACAUCCAUGAAGACUGACGCUCUGAAAACUGGAGACCUCAGCCUGAACCUGACCAACCUCCAACUGUCUGACAGCGCCACCUACACCUGCUCCAUCAGAGAAUUUGGACGUGAACUGAGUCGGAGUGAUGUACAGCUGCAGGUCAAAGAACAGUUUCCAUCCUGGGCCAAAGCUCUCCUGGUUCUCCUGGUUCUUGUUCUUGUGGUUUCUGGAGGUCUCAUAUAUUAUUUCCGUCAGUAUUUCAUGUCAGUCCCCUGGGUGGGGGUGGAUUCAGGGGUGGAGUCUGUCCAGCUGAUCUGCAAAACCACAGUUUGUCUGUCUAAAGAUGCUAAAGUGGAGUGGAAGGACGAAAACAACAGGAAGGUCCACGUGUAUGAGAACGGCUCUGACCAGCCUGAAGAACAACAUGAGGAUUACAGAGACCGAACGAAGAUGAAGAGGAAGGUCCUGGAACCUGGAGACCUCAGUCUGACCCUGAAACACCCCACAGAUGGAGACACAAACACCUACACCUGCACCGUCUACAGCAGGGAGGGAAACAUCCUGAUGGAGAAACAAGUGGAGCUGAAAGUCAGAGUCCCCCAGGUGGAGGUGGAUUCAGGGGUGGAGUCUGUCCAGCUGCCCUUCAACACCACACUUCACCUGCCUGAAGACGCUAAAGUGGAGUGGAAGGACAAAAAUGGCAAGAAGGUCCACGUGUAUGAGAACGGCUCUGACCAGCCUGAAGAACAGGACGAUAAAUACAAGAACCGAACAAAGAUGAAGAGAAACUUACUGGAACCUGGAGACCUCAGUCUGACCCUGAAAUACCCCACAGAUGGAGACAACUCCACCUACACCUGCACCGUCUACAGCAGGGAGGGAAACAUCCUGCUGAAGAGAAAGGUGGAGCUGAAAGUCAAAGUCCCCCAGGUGGAGGUGGAUUCAGGGGUGGAGUCUGUCCAGCUGCCCCUCAAAACCACACUUCACCUGCCUGAAGACGCUAAAGUGGAGUGGAAGGUCUAUGACACAAAGGUCCACGUGUAUGAGAACGGCUCUGACCAGCCUGAAGAACAGCACCAGGUUUACAGAGACCGAACGAAGAUGAAUGAAGACCUGCUGAAAACUGGAGACCUCAGUCUGACCCUGAAAUACCCCACAGAUGGAG
ensembl:lncRNA